UCGCCUAGGACUUGAUCUACUUCCAAGGUUUUCGACCAUCCUGAUUCCACUACUCCCCCCGUAACUCUUCACCAAGCCUUUGCACUCACCAAGAUACCCAUCAUCGGCUAUUGCACUGAUUUUGAAAAAGCGGCUAUGGAAAAAAGAGUAAGAAAAAUUGACCUGGAUAUAUCCAAGUUUUAGCUGCCUCGUAAUCAAUCUCAAAACAGCUGCCUCCCACUCCCGGAACCCAAGCAUCUGUAGUUUCCUCAACAACCAACGUCUUCGUCUUCCCAAUGAAACUAUCUAGCGUCGCCUGUUUACAGUUCCCAGACGGCCGCUUCCCAUUCUUAACGAGAGAAUUGGAACAAUUCGAAUCACCCCCAGCAACCGAUUAUCCGAUCGGUUUGGGUUGAAUGAGGAGGUGGAGGGAAUCACAUUCUCGCAGGCCACGUCGAUUUCC
rnacentral:lncRNA from 1 species